ACAAAAAUAAAAACGAGAUCAAACAGUCAAAACUGGAAUAAUCAGGAUUUGCUGGCUAUUGUUAGCUUAAAACGAGCUCUGAUAUCUUGCUGAAAAGUACCUUGCGGAGAGAGGAGGUGGGUUGGGAUCGCAGGAGGGCAAAUGGCGGCUUUCAGCCGGAAAAACAAACAGUCUGUAGGUCCGCGGAGAAUCAGAGAAAGAGAGAGAGAGGGGGAGAAAAGGAGCCCACCUGGAGCCUGAGGACACUCAGGAACAUCCUGUCCACCGGACGGCUUCAGUCAAUAGCAGACACAGCUCCAGGCAUCACAUCGCUCCGUAGCCAAAUAACAGCAUCAGGGCCGCAUCAGGGCGGUGGGCGGAGGAAAUUGAUGUCUGAUUCCGCGGACAGAAACACAUCAAAGUGGCAUCAUUGAUAAUUAAAUAUCAGCUGAUUUCUU